UCAUACACAAUGUCAAGCACAAUAUCUAAUCCUCAAUAUCAUUACAUGACUGAAACUGUACUUUUACAUAACAUUAAUACAUUUAUCAUGUCCACACUAUCUAUUACAUAAACCAGACUUCAUUACUCUUGUAAACCUCCUGGUCUACCCUGUACCUGCAAUCCUGGGGAAAUGGGAGAGGGGUGAGCUACUAGAGCCCAGUGAGCAGAAUAAUAGAAAAACAUUUAAAUCAUAUGGAUCAUGGAAUGCAUCACAUCACAUCUAAUCACAUCAAGGAUGAACUUGUCACCAAUAGCCCUCUACAU
rnacentral:lncRNA from 1 species